rnacentral:rRNA from 1 species
CCUACGGGAGGCAGCAGUGAGGAAUAUUGGUCAAUGGGAGAGAUCCUGAACCAGCCAAGCCGCGUGAGGGAAGACGGCCCUAUGGGUUGUAAACCUCUUUUGUCGGAGAACAAAACCCGGGACGUGUCCCGGACUGCGUGUAUCCGAAGAAAAAGCAUCGGCUAACUCCGUGCCAGCAGCCGCGGUAAUACGGAGGAUGCGAGCGUUAUCCGGAUUUAUUGGGUUUAAAGGGUGCGUAGGCGGUUUGAUAAGUUAGAGGUGAAAUACCGGUGCUCAACACCGGAACUGCCUCUAAUACUGUUGAACUAGAGAGUAGUUGCGGUAGGCGGAAUGUAUGGUGUAGCGGUGAAAUGCUUAGAGAUCAUACAGAACACCGAUUGCGAAGGCAGCUUACCAAACUAUAUCUGACGUUGAGGCACGAAAGCGUGGGUAGCAAACAGGAUUAGAUACCCUUGUAGUC